rnacentral:lncRNA from 1 species
AACAACACGAACAAGCUUAAACCCCUCAGAAGAUAAAACUAAUGGAAUAGAUAGGUUGGAGAGCGAGCGAGCUUCUGAAUCGCAUAAGAGGAUCAUCGAUCGCCGCCAAUGGUCCUCCGUUCCCCGCCGGUCUCUCCUCUGCUUCUUCGGCAACGACAAGGUACUCAAUCUGGUUUCCAAUCUCAGUGAAGCCUUUGGGUUUGGGUUUGAUCCGAGGAGUUUGUUGGUUGCGGGGGGUGGGGGGGGGGUGUUGGGCCGCGGAAUGGAGAUGCUGGCUUGGGAGUUCCAGGAGUGAGGGAGGUUGCGAAGGGGUUCUUGUUCUCUUUUGUGAUGGGGAAUAAGN